CUGGAAGAUUGUCAGUUUACUACUUUCCUUGCACUGAGAGCAUUCAACCAGUAACAAAGAGCUCUUCUCCAAAAGGGCAGUUAUAAUAUUGUGGCACAGUACUUUGUUUAAAGAAAAUAUCCAGCAUGACACUAGGGUGUAAAACAAAGAGACUGGAGAGAAGGACAUCCUUGGCUUUUUACCAAUCAAAAGGAAUGAAACUUUGUUUAAAAAUAUGAAGACAUUUCUGAAGAAUGGGGUAUAUUAAUUACCUGAUUAAA
rnacentral:lncRNA from 1 species